GGGAAUUUCCCUUAGACAAAGAUGUUCUAAGGGCAGAAAGGAAAAUGAUUGGUUGACAGAUUCAACCAAUGAAAUUGAAGCCGAGGCGGGGUCAGGAAAUUUGGACGUGUGGAUGGAAUACUUCAGACAGAAACGUUAUUAGCGCUUCGUGGGAGGCAUUUGUUGCAAGUUACCUGGAGGAGUUGCAAAAUCUGGACAGAUCAAAGGAGCUAACACUGAAGAUCUGAUACUGCUGAGUCCAAAAUGGUGCAAAAAUGGAGAUGUAUGAAAAAUGGUGUCACCAGAUGAUGGAUCAGCAGCUAGAGACGACCUCUACAUCCCUAAAUGUCCUAAAUGAGUCCUCUGCAAUCUGACUUUGCUGCAACAUGGAACUUUUGCAUUAUUGACACACUAUUGUCCUAUUAAAAACUGUUGCUUUGACACAUCCUGUUUUGUUAAAAAGCGCUGUAUGAAUAAACAUGAUUGAUUGAUUUACCUCAUGUAAAUAAGAGGUUGCAUGCAACUUAUUUCUGCUAUCUUCACAUUUUUCAUGACACCUAUCAUUUUGAGAGAUAAAAUUUAAGAAAACCAUUUCAGCUAUAGUGGGUCUCUUUUUGAACCUGAGAUUUAAAUAAAUAACAUAUUAUUAAAUUUAAAUUUAUUCUUAAUCCAAGCAUGUGACAUUUAAUGUAUAGCAGACAACUAUGUGACAGGCCAUAUGAGCAGUGCAUUCCUGGGUUCAUAUGAUCACACUGUGAAUAAAUCAAAUCCAUGAGUUUUAUCACUGAGGUGCCAUGUACAUCAAUUUUUACAUAUGUUCCUACUGUCCAAAUAGGGCUUCUCUCACAUUCACUUGGUGAUACAUAAAUGUGAUUACAAAAGGUACCAGUCAAUUUUUGUGCAACCACUUAAUGUUUCUCCCAUGGACUAUUGCAGAGAAAUUAAGACUUGUAAUUUUAAUUAUAACUUGUGAGUUAUUUAUUUAUUUUUUUAAUAAUCGUGUUGUUAAUGUUGUAUCAUUCAAUGUCUGUUGUACAGAUUGUUUAAGAACAAAAUGAAAGAAAUGUUGAUUGAAAAUAAUCAGUUUACGGGUGCAAUAUUACAAUAAAAUAAGUUUAAUUAUGA